rnacentral:rRNA from 1 species
AGUGAACGCUGGCGGUAGGCCUAACACAUGCAAGUCGAACGGCAGCACAGUAAGAGCUUGCUCUUACGGGUGGCGAGUGGCGGACGGGUGAGGAAUACAUCGGAAUCUACUUUUUCGUGGGGGAUAACGUAGGGAAACUUACGCUAAUACCGCAUACGACCUACGGGUGAAAGCAGGGGAUCUUCGGACCUUGCGCGAUUGAAUGAGCCGAUGUCGGAUUAGCUAGUUGGCGGGGUAAAGGCCCACCAAGGCGACGAUGCGUAGCUGGUCUGAGAGGAUGAUCAGCCACACUGGAACUGAGACACGGUCCAGACUCCUACGGGAGGCAGCAGUGGGGAAUAUUGGACAAAGGGCGCAAGCCUGAUCCAGCCAUACCGCGUGGGUGAAGAAGGCCUUCGGGUUGUAAAGCCCUUUUGUUGGGAAAGAAAAGCAGCAGGUUAAUACCCCGCUGUUCUGACGGUACCCAAAGAAUAAGCACCGGCUAACUUCGUG